rnacentral:rRNA from 1 species
AUUGAACGCUGGCGGCAUGCCUUACACAUGCAAGUCGAACGGCAGCACGGGAGCAAUCCUGGUGGCGAGUGGCGAACGGGUGAGUAAUAUAUCGGAACGUGCCCAGUCGUGGGGAUAACGUAGCGAAAGCUACGCUAAUACCGCAUACGAUCUAUGGAUGAAAGCGGGGGAUCGCAAGACCUCGCGCGAUUGGAGCGGCCGAUAUCAGAUUAGGUAGUUGGUGGGGUAAAGGCUCACCAAGCCAACGAUCUGUAGCUGGUCUGAGAGGACGACCAGCCACACUGGAACUGAGACACGGUCCAGACUCCUACGGGAGGCAGCAGUGGGGAAUUUUGGACAAUGGGCGCAAGCCUGAUCCAGCAAUGCCGCGUGCAGGAUGAAGGCCUUCGGUUGUAAACGUGCUUUGUUACGGAACGAAACGGUGAGCUCUAAUACAGUUUG